UCAUGCGUUGGGCUGGGGUACAAACCGGCGUGCUUACAUGUGGUGCUGUAGUAAUUAAAUGUAUAUUUGAUGAUGGAAAUGUGCCGUAAUGCGCAUCUGGCGCUUUGCGUAGGGUGGUGGCCAUGUAUCUGCGAAUUCAUAUGAUGACAAACACUUCACUGAGGAGGGUGACGUACAAGUUUCUGUGGCUCUUCCACCAAGUUCCUAUGUUUCCGGCUACAGGAGCGUAAACUUGGGCCACUUUGUAUGUUCUGGCUGCUAUCUUGCCGAGCAGACAUGGGCCACUGGGUAUGUGCCGGAAUAGACAACUUGCUGCUGGCUGGUCGAGUAUAGACAACUUGUGUUACUGGUGAUCGAUGGGACAUUGCAACAUGUGCCAAGAACAGCAAUGAUAGCGAUGACACUUAACAUCGACUGCCUUUCCAGAAGCAAAACAUGCAACAUUUAUCACUAAAGUGUGGCCCGUGUGGCUCCCAGGCAAGUUGGUAUUGGCCCUCGCCACUUUUGAGUUGAGCAGUCAUGCACUAGGCUAAUCCCCCACAUUCCGGCUUUAUAGUGUAAAAGCUGUAGUCCAUUAUUUCAUUUGCUUAGUUUGGAGGCAUUACCCAUAACCCAGCAUUAAUUUCCAAAUAAGCUUAUUUCUGUAGGACCUUGCUGUUCAUUUUUCUACGCAUUUUUCAACUGCUGUUUAACAAAAUAAAUGUUUCUGUGAUUUUAUAGCUGUCUAAAUGUCUAAACAUUAUAAAGCAAGAAGACAAGCUCCUGCAUAUUUAUGUGUGUGUCGAGUAAUAGCGGAACUGGAAAAAUGAAUGUUACCAUCUCAAUCACUUAUCUGACAAAGGCAGAAAAUAUUUGCAGCCAUAAUUUGUGUAAUUGAAAAAUAAGCUCGAUACAUUGAGUCAAGGCAGAAAUGUAGUUCAUCAUGAUUUAUUUGUGUCACCAGUGUGAAUCUUCCAUGCACUUCGAAUUAAAGGACAGCCUUCAAGUCAGCAGAUGAACAGAGGACGUAUUCUCGGACAAUCACUUUCGCAAGAAUCGGCACUGGACGCAUGCGCACAAGGGUCAGGAAAACGUGAGAAAGAAGUUCAUUGGCUCUCAUGGGCUCGUGAAAAUGAAACUAUGAAAACGAAACUGAAUGUGAUCACCCGAGAAUACCACCCCAAUAAGGUACAGGAUUUCACAGCAAAUGACAUCAACUUCUGAACGUUGAUGUUUUGGGCAAUAAGAUGUGCACAUAUGUAUGAUGCAGAAACUGUGUGUGUGUGUGUGUGUGUGUGUGUGUGUGUGUGUGUGUGUGUGUGUG